rnacentral:lncRNA from 1 species
GGUGGCAGAUCAAUGAGACCUUUAUCCCAUUAGCCUGCCCUAGUAUCUGAUAUUCCUCAAGCUGAGACUUAAUUCUUUUGGUUUCAGGUACUGUAUUUGUAAGAUUCUCUCAUUCACAAAAUUCUAUCAAAUUUUCAGGGUUUACCCAUUUAUUAGUUAUUUUAACUUCACAUCAUAACUCUGACAUCACAUAGAAGUUAUUAAUACCCAAUGAUAGAAAAGAAAACUGAAUCUCAACACAAUUACAUAAUUUGUUCAAGAAAUCACAGCAACAAAUUGGGCCUUCUGACUUGAGUCUAGAGCCUUUCACCAACAUCAAGUAGUACUAAUGAUAUUUUACUGUAAGUAUUUUAACUGGGGCUAUUAUGAGUUCAUUUCCCUUAUCUCAUCUCUUCUUCCUUCCAUACAAUUUUUUUUCAGACAACUUCUCGUUUAUGUUGUUUUGUAAGCAUCCCUCCCACCAGGUUCUGGCUUUGUUUUGUAUGAUUUAUUUCUAUUGGCUCCAUCAUGACCUCUCAGGGCACUUGGAAGAUCCUGUUGUAAAGCUCUGAAGCUCUUGACAGUCUAUCUGUUGGGAUUCCCUCUGGGUAGUUUCAAAGAUGAGUUCAGGGAUAGAGUUGCAGCUGCAGAUAUGAACCAGGUCUUCAGAGAGGUGACAGAAAGAACUAAAGGGAGAGAGAGAAAUGUAAAUUUGCAUUAAUUGAAAUUUUUUUAGUUACAGUGGCAAUACCGUAAUACAGUAGUCUAAGCUAAAACAGGAAAUUCACUGGAUCAUAUCACAAGAUGGAAAACCAGAGUGGGUUAGGGUAAAUGGAAACUGGCUUAGGGACAGCUGUGGCCAGGGACUUAAAUGGCAGGAUGGUAUCCACUUCUCAUCCUUUACAUAAUCGUGGUUCUUGUUUAGGCAAAAUGGGCUCUUUGAUAACAAAACUCUUACCCAAAAAGUCACAGCAAGCCUUCAGAGUUCUCAGCACAACCUUCCAGAGUCACCUCUUGCAGCACUUUCCUACAUAGUACUGUAGACACAGCCCAUUGGCAUCCUAGAGAUGGCAUUCUGAAGAGAAAGCAGGAUCUCAACUCCUCUCAAGGUGUUCCUCCCUCCCUUGAAGGUCAGGAUGUCUUGUGCUGGCACAUCCUUUGGUGGGUCAGUAGAUGGCAGUGUGUCUGAAUCUAGUAUGUAUGGUAGGGGAAAGCUUUUUAGCAUUUCCCAAGAAAAUGAAGGUUUUGAAAGCUGUGAGGCAGCAUGGGGCCUAG